AGGACGAACGCUGGCGGCGUGCUUAACACAUGCAAGUCGAGCGGAAAGGCCCUUCGGGGUACUCGAGCGGCGAACGGGUGAGUAACACGUGGGCAACCUGCCCUCAGCUCUGGGAUAACUCCGGGAAACCGGGGCUAAUACCGGAUACGACCACUCCUGGCAUCUGGGGUGGUGGAAAGUUUUUUCGGCUGAGGAUGGGCCCGCGGCCUAUCAGCUUGUUGGUGGGGUCACGGCCCACCAAGGCGACGACGGGU
rnacentral:rRNA from 1 species